rnacentral:rRNA from 1 species
UACAGAGGUCCCAAGCGUUGUUCGGAUUCACUGGGCGUAAAGGGUGCGUAGGUGGUGAGGUAAGUCGGAUGUGAAAGCUCGGAGCUCAACUCCGAAAUGGCAUUGGAAACUACCUUGCUCGAGGGUUGGAGGGGGGACUGGAAUACUUGGUGUAGCAGUGAAAUGCGUAGAUAUCAAGUGGAACACCAUUGGCGAAGGCGAGUCCCUGGACAACUCCUGACACUGAGGCACGAAAGCUAGGGGAGCAAACAGG